rnacentral:tRNA from 1 species
UGGGGUAUAGCUCAGUGACAGAGUGUGCUUAGCAUGCAUGAGGUCCUGGGUUCAAGCCCCAGUACCUCUG